AUUGAACGCUGGCGGCAGGCCUAACACAUGCAAGUCGAGCGGAUGAAGGGAGCUUGCUCCUGGAUUCAGCGGCGGACGGGUGAGUAAUGCCUAGGAAUCUGCCUGGCAGUGGGGGAUAACGUCCGGAAACGGGCGCUAAUACCGCCUACGUCCUGAGGGAGCAAGUGGGGGAUCUUCGGACCUCACGCUAUCAGAUGAGCCUAGGUCGGAUUAGCUAGUUGGUGGGGUAAAGGCCUACUAAGGCGACGAUCCGUAACUGGUCUGAUAGGAUGAUCAGUCACACUGGAACGGAGACACGGUCCAGACUCCUACGGGAGGCAGCAGUGGGGAAUAUUGGACAGUGGGCGAAAGCCUGAUCCAGCCAUGCCGCGUGUGUGAAGAAGGUCUUCGGAUUGUAAAGCACUUUAAGUUGGGAGGAAGGGCAGUAAGUUAAUACCUUGCUGUUUUGACGUUACCAACAGAAUAAGCACCGGCUAACUUCGUG
rnacentral:rRNA from 1 species